GACGAACCGUGCGAACGUUAUUCGGAAUCACUGGGCUUAAAGGGUGCGUAGGCGGGUUGCCAAGUCUGUGGUGAAAUCCUCCGGCUUAACCGGAGAACGGCCGUGGAUACUGGCGACCUCGAGUGGGGUAGGGGCUUGCGGAACUGUGCGUGGAGCGGUGAAAUGCGUUGAUAUGCACAGGAACUCCGGUGGCGAAGGCGGCGAGCUGGACCCUAACUGACGCUGAGGCACGAAAGCCAGGGGAGCGAACGGG
rnacentral:rRNA from 1 species